rnacentral:tRNA from 1 species
GGAGUAUAGCUCAGUUAGUAGAGUACUUGUCUGGAAAGCACAAAGCCCUGGGUUCAAUCCCCAGCACCA